ACCACAUUCAUUGCUCAACACCAACUGGCCGAAGAAACUGGGGUGGACAAUUUUCAACCUGCUGCAGGCCUUGCUCUGAUAGAAUUAUGUCCAUAGGAAUUCCAGAAUUUUAAUACAACAAACAUCACUGAGGGAGGGACAACACUUGGUCAGUCUGGACAGCGGCACCACAGCAAACAAAAAAAUGCCAGCUACUGUCGAGGACCAGGAUAAAACAGAGGAAAAUGUCAGCGAUAAACUUCACAGACUUCAGUUGAACUCUCAGCAAAAAGUGAUUUUAUUUGUAAAAUAUCAUGAAUUUUUAAGCAAUAUCCAGUGUUUGUACACAUUUUAUCGAUUCAAUGAAAUUAAAACUCUGUAAACAUGCUA